rnacentral:rRNA from 1 species
UACGGAGGGUGCGAGCGUUGUCCGGAAUCACUGGGCGUAAAGCGCACGUAGGCGGAUCGCUAAGUCAGGGGUGAAAUCCUGGAGCUCAACUCCAGAACUGCCCUUGAUACUGGCGAUCUCGAGUCCGGGAGAGGUGAGUGGAACUGCGAGUGUAGAGGUGAAAUUCGUAGAUAUUCGCAAGAACACCAGUGGCGAAGGCGGCUCACUGGCCCGGUACUGACGCUGAGGUGCGAAAGCGUGGGGAGCGAACAGG